UCAGGGCAGUAAACAAGGUCUCACCGACUCCGUGUGUCCCUUCACAGGUAUGUGGAUGUCAGUAAGAGCGCUGGAGUUCCCUGCCGAUGCUUUAACUUCACCGCUUCCUUCGAACAAGCCAAGCACAAUAACAGGUUCCGGGAGAUGGUUCCUUCAGCCACCAAGCAUGCUUCUGUCAACGACAUGGUCUUCCACAGCUACAAGAAGAAAUUUGUGGCUCCUUCUCUGUCAGAAGGCUUCUCAGAAAUCCUGCAGAUUCACUUCAUUCCCAGUUUUACUGACAGUCGGUCUGAGGGGCUUUUCAGGCAGUUCUCAGAGGGCUGAACCAAGAAUAUGAUGACAGAAUAGAAGUGGAAUAGUAUAUGAAGGCUGAAAA